AUUGAACGCUGGCGGCAGGCCUAACACAUGCAAGUCGAACGAGUGGCGGACGGGUGAGUAAUUUCUGGGAAACUGCCUGAUGGAGGGGGAUCACUACUGGAAACGGUAGCUAAUACUGCAUAUCAUCAGAUGUGCCCAGAUGGGAGUAGCUAGUUGGUGGGGUCACGGCUCACCAAGGAGACGAUCCCUAGCUGGUCUGAGAGGAGGAACAGCCACACGGGAACUGAGACACGGUCCAGACUCCUACGGGAGGCAGCAGUGGUGAAUAUGGCACAAUGGGCGCAAGCCUGAUGCAGCCAUGCCGCGUGUAUGAAGAAGGCCUUCGGGUUGUAAAGUACUUUCAGCGGGGAGGCGUUACCCGCAGAAGAAGCACCGGCUAACUCCGUGCCAGCAGCCGCGGUAAUAC
rnacentral:rRNA from 1 species